CGUAACAGGAAGCAGCUUGCUGCUUUGCUGACGAGUGGCGGACGGGUGAGUAAUGUCUGGGAAACUGCCUGAUGGAGGGGGAUAACUACUGGAAACGGUAGCUAAUACCGCAUAACGUCGCAAGACCAAAGAGGGGGGCCUUCGGGCCUCUUGCCAUCGGAUGUGCCCAGAUGGGAUUAGCUAGUAGGUGGGGUAAAGGCUCACCUAGGCGACGAUCCCUAGCUGGUCUGAGAGGAUGACCAGCCACACUGGAACUGAGACACGGUCCAGACUCCUACGGGAGGCAGCAGUGGGGAAUAUUGCACAAUGGGCGCAAGCCUGAUGCAGCCAUGCCGCGUGUAUGAAGAGGGCCUUCGGGUUGUAAAGUACUUUCAGCGGGGAGGAAGGGAGUAAAGUUAAUACCUUUGCUCAUUGACGUUACCCGCAGAAGAAGCACCGGCUAACUCCGUGCCAGCAGCCGCGGUAAUACGGGGGGUGCAAGCGUUAAUCGGAAUUACUGGGCGUAAAGCGCACGCAGGCGGUUUGUUAAGUCAGAUGUGAAAUCCCCGGGCUCAACCUGGGAACUGCAUCUGAUACUGGCAAGCUUGAGUCUCGUAGAGGGGGGUAGAAUUCCAGGUGUAGCGGUGAAAUGCGUAGAGAUCUGGAGGAAUACCGGUGGCGAAGGCG
rnacentral:rRNA from 1 species